rnacentral:rRNA from 1 species
AGAGUUUGAUCAUGGCUCAGAUUGAACGCUGGCGGCAGGCUUAACACAUGCAAGUCGAGCGGAGAUGAGGUGCUUGCACCUUAUCUUAGCGGCGGACGGGUGAGUAAUGCUUAGGAAUCUGCCUAUUAGUGGGGGACAACAUUCCGAAAGGAAUGCUAAUACCGCAUACGUCCUACGGGAGAAAGCAGGGGAUCUUCGGACCUUGCGCUAAUAGAUGAGCCUAAGUCGGAUUAGCUAGUUGGUGGGGUAAAGGCCUACCAAGGCGACGAUCUGUAGCGGGUCUGAGAGGAUGAUCCGCCACACUGGGACUGAGACACGGCCCAGACUCCUACGGGAGGCAGCAGUGGGGAAUAUUGGACAAUGGGGGGAACCCUGAUCCAGCCAUGCCGCGUGUGUGAAGAAGGCCUUAUGGUUGUAAAGCACUUUAAGCGAGGAGGAGGCUACUGAGACUAAUACUCUUGGAUAGUGGACGUUACUCGCAGAAUAAGCACCGGCUAACUCUGUGCCAGCAGCCGCGGUAAUACAGAGGGUGCGAGCGUUAAUCGGAUUUACUGGGCGUAAAGCGUGCGUAGGCGGCUUUUUAAGUCGGAUGUGAAAUCCCCGAGCUUAACUUGGGAAUUGCAUUCGAUACUGGGAAGCUAGAGUAUGGGAGAGGAUGGUAGAAUUCCAGGUGUAGCGGUGAAAUGCGUAGAGAUCUGGAGGAAUACCGAUGGCGAAGGCAGCCAUCUGGCCUAAUACUGACGCUGAGGUACGAAAGCAUGGGGAGCAAACAGGAUUAGAUACCCUGUAGUCCAUGCCGUAAACGAUGUCUACUAGCCGUUGGGGCCUUUGAGGCUUUAGUGCGCAGCUAACGCGAUAAGUAGACCGCCUGGGGAGUACGGUCGCAGACUAAACUCAAUGAUUGACGG